rnacentral:rRNA from 1 species
CCUACGGGGUGCAGCAGUGAGGAAUAUUGGUCAAUGGACGAGAGUCUGAACCAGCCAAGUAGCGUGAAGGAUGACUGCCCUAUGGGUUGUAAACUUCUUUUAUAUGGGAAUAAAACGUUCCACGUGUGGGAUUUUGUAUGUACCAUAUGAAUAAGGAUCGGCUAACUCCGUGCCAGCAGCCGCGGUAAUACGGAGGAUCCGAGCGUUAUCCUGAUUUAUUGGGUUUAAAGGGAGCGUAGGUGGAUUGUUAAGUCAGUUGUGAAAGUUUGCGGCUCAACCGUAAAAUUGCAGUUGAAACUGGCAGUCUUGAGUACAGUAGAGGUGGGCGGAAUUCGUGGUGUAGCGGUGAAAUGCUUAGAUAUCACGAAGAACUCCGAUUGCGAAGGCAGUUCACUGGACUGCAACUGACACUGAGGCUCGAAAGUGUGGGUAUCAAACAGGAUUAGAUACCCCUGUAGUC